AACGAACGCUGGCGGCAGGCCUAACACAUGCAAGUCGAGCGGACCCUUCGGGGUUAGCGGCCGACGGGUGAGUAACGCGUGGGAAUAUGCCCUUCUCUACGGAAUAGUCCUGGGAAACUGGGGGUAAUACCGUAUACGCCCUUUGGGGGAAAGAUUUAUCGGGGAAGGAUUAGCCCGCGUUGGAUUAGGUAGUUGGUGGGGUAAUGGCCUACCAAGCCGACGAUCCAUAGCUGGUUUGAGAGGAUGAUCAGCCACACUGGGACUGAGACACGGCCCAGACUCCUACGGGAGGCAGCAGUGGGGAAUCUUAGACAAUGGGGGCAACCCUGAUCUAGCCAUGCCGCGUGAGUGAUGAAGGCCUUAGGGUUGUAAAGCUCUUUCAGCUGGGAAGAUAAUGACGGUACCAGCAGAAGAAGCCCCGGCUAACUCCGUG
rnacentral:rRNA from 1 species